UGCUUAUCCGUCCCCAAUAGCAGCCAAGUCACCCUCCACACCCAAAGUGGGGACUCGCCAGGAAGAGCCUUGCGUCCCGCAUUGUCAGUCAUGGACCAGGCACCUUCCCUCAGGACUCUGUGCUGCAGGGUCUUUCUAUGUAGUUCAGGUUGGCCUUGAAUUGGCAGUGAUCUUCCUGCUUCAGCCUCGCAAGAGCUGGGAUUACAGGCAUGCACCACCACACCCAGCCCUAUUGUGACUUUUGGAGCAAAAAUUAAGACCUACUGUUGUUUUCCUGGAAAUGUGGUAGGUGCUCAGAGGCCUCUGGAGCUAUGGUUGAAGGGGUGCAGCUACUGCUCCAGCUGGCAGUAGACUUUGGUGGCAUCGUCCAUGCAGUGCUGGUUUUAGGUGCGUGCAGAAUGUAAGAAUUGUAGAGUCAGGGAAAUUUCCACCCAGACUCAGAAGAAAGCUUGUGAUCCCAAGCAGCGUGUCCCUGAGAGGGCAGUGUGCGAAGCUGUGAGAGUGACGCUGAAAGUGCAGUGGAGACCUCAGGAAGUUGGGAAAACCAGGAAUGUGAAACAUCCAUGAAGGAAGGCCACAAGCAGUGAGCAAAACCAGCCUAACAGGGAAGCCAUGAGAACUGUAACAGGCAACAUCACAGCAGUGGGCUACUCUGGCCUGUGAAAUUCACAUCUUUGCUCCAGGUGCUGGACUCAGAAUUAUAGGAUUUAAUGUUUACUCUGCUGGGUUUUGAUCUUGCUUUGCUCCCAUUCCUUUCUAUCCCCCUAGUUUUCCAUUUAGAAUGAAAUGUUUACCUUGUGCCAGUGUAUGUUGACUAUGUUUAUAUUUCUUUUCUACUUUUAUGGAUGCCAACAGCUAAGAGUUUGACUUAAGUCUCAGAAGAGACUUAGGACUUGGACUUCUCAGCAAUGCUGAAACUGUUAGAACUUUGGCUAAACUCUUAGAGAUGAACUAAAUGCAUUUACAUAAAGAGAUGUACAUUAUUCUUCCAGGGACCAGGAAUGUUACAGUUUCAGGCAAAACUGUCCCUCAACAGCCUCAUGUACUCAGAGGCAGGGCUUUUGCAAGGUGGUUGAAUUAUGCAGGCACUACAGCUGCUUUGCUAUUAGGAAAGUGGGCCUAGUUAGAGGUCAAUGACUGAGGGCCCCACCUGGAAAAUGUAUCUCUUCCCCAGCUCCUCCCUUCUCUUUCUGCUUUAUGGCUACUGCAAUGGGAUCAGCUUUCUCCUCCUGAGGCUGUUUUGGCAUGCUGCUGACCAUGCAAGAACUGAAACUGUGUGCCAAAAUAAACCUCUCUUUCUCAUA